rnacentral:rRNA from 1 species
AGUGAACGCUGGCGAUAGGCCUAACACAUGCAAGUCGAACGGCAACACAGGAGAGCUUGCUCUCUGGGUGGCGAGUGGCGGACGGGUGAGGAAUACAUCGGAAUCUACUUUUUCGUGGGGGAUAACGUAGGGAAACUUACGCUAAUACCGCAUACGACCUACGGGUGAAAGCAGGGGAUCUUCGGACCUUGCGCGAUUGAAUGAGCCGAUGUCGGAUUAGCUAGUUGGCGGGGUAAAGGCCCACCAAGGCGACGAUCCGUAGCUGGUCUGAGAGGAUGAUCAGCCAAACUGGAACUGAGACACGGUCCAGACUCCUACGGGAGGCAGCAGUGGGGAAUAUUGGACAAUGGGCGCAAGCCUGAUCCAGCCAUACCGCGUGGGUGAAGAAGGCCUUCGGGUUGUAAAGCCCUUUUGUUGGGAAAGAAAUCCAGCUGGCUAAUACCCGGUUGGGAUGACGGUACCCAAAGAAUAAGCACCGGCUAACUUCGUGCCAGCCGCCGCGGUAAAAC